rnacentral:lncRNA from 1 species
CGACGAAUGGUCGACAUUGUAGCUCCAUCUGUUAAGACACUCAUUGUUCAACCUGCCUGGCUUUCUUGGGAAAAACUGUGCCUUUAUGGUAAACACACUAUCCUUGGAUUUUGGGUUUGAAGAGUAGGAAGCGUAUGGAUUGUGAAAUACUUCAUUUUUUUGCUCACAUCUGUUGAGCAGGGAUCAAUGAGCUUCUAAAUGCUUUCUCUAAUGGUGGAAUGAACCCAGUUAUUUCCUUAAGGCCAUUUUACUAAGGAGGUUUGCUUUGUUUGGCUGUUGGAUGUUCUGCUGAGGUCAGGGUAAGUGGAGAUAUUAAGCCUAACUAUUUAGGCACUUUCCCAUCAAACCAUGUCUGUUUCAAUGCAGAAUUUCAAUAGGCUUAUGUCAAAUGUCUUCUGACAGAAUUAUAACAGUUUUAAGAAAACAAGUUGCCAUGAGCAUUUGUAGUGACAUCUAAUAUGUUAGUAUUUAGCUGUACCCAAUUAGGCCUCUGUGUGUUAUUGUCCCUUGGAAUGUGUAGUGAUUUAGUGCAUGUCUCUUCACCAGUGGAGUGGUCACCUUUGAACACAUUGUCUCCCCACACCUGUGUGACAGGUUUCUCUUUCUUAUAGGGCUCUCACAGGGCUUAGGGGCCAUGUCUUUUCACAGCCUCUUUAAGGGACUUUUAGCACGAGAGGGUGUAUGUUAUUAGACACUGUCUGUGCACAUUUUUGUUUCAACAUUUUAGUUUAUUCUGGUUUUACAGUUUAGUGAAAAAUAACAAAUUGCGAGAAGGAGGUUGUAGCAAGUUAUGCUACACUUCAUACUGAAAAGAAUAAUCUAUUGGGAUAGUCUGAAUUUGUCCUACAUAUACAGUGCCUAAGUCUUCAUACCCCUUGACUUAUUCCACAUUUUGUUGUUACAGCCUGAAUUCAAAAUUGAUUAAAUAUGAACAAAUUCUCACCCAUCUACACACGAUAUCCCAUAAUGACAAAGUGAAAACCAGUUUUUAGAAAUGUUUGCACUUUUAUUGAAAAUGGAAUACAGAAAUCUAAUUUCCAUAAAUGUUCACACCCCUGAGUCUACUUUGUAGAAGCUCCGUUGGCAGCGAUUACAGCUGUGAGUCUUUCUGCUACAGCUUUCCACACCUGGAUUGGGCAACAUUUUCCCAUUCAUUCUUUAAUCAUUGCUAGACAACCAUUUUCAGGUCUUGCCAUAGAUUUUCAAAUAGAUUUAAGUCAAAACUGUAACUCGGCCACUCAGGAACAUUCACUCUCUUCUUGGUAAGCAAAUCCAGUGUAGAUUUGGCCUUGUGUUUUAGGUUAUUAUUCUGUACAGGCUUUCUUCUCUUCACUCUGUUAUUUAGGUUAUUAUUCUGUACAGGCUUUCUUCUCUUCACUCUGUUAU